AAUACAGAAAGCGAAAUAGUUGCAUACGGCUUCGGCCCGUAAAAUAAGGGUAAAAUCCCUUUCUGUAUUA
rnacentral:tRNA from 1 species